CGAGCGGUAGAGAGAAGCUUGCUUCUCUUUGCAGAGCGGCGGACGGGUGAGUAAUGCCUAGGAAUCUGCCUGGUAGUGGGGGAUAACGUUCGGAAACGGACGCUAAUACCGCAUACGUCCUACGGGAGAAAGCAGGGGACCUUCGGGCCUUGCGCUAUCAGAUGAGCCUAGGUCGGAUUAGCUAGUUGGUGAGGUAAUGGCUCACCAAGGCGACGAUCCGUAACUGGUCUGAGAGGAUGAUCAGUCACACUGGAACUGAGACACGGUCCAGACUCCUACGGGAGGCAGCAGUGGGGAAUAUUGGACAAUGGGCGAAAGCCUGAUCCAGCCAUGCCGCGUGUGUGAAGAAGGUCUUCGGAUUGUAAAGCACUUUAAGUUGGGAGGAAGGGUUGUAGAUUAAUACUCUGCAAUUUUGACGUUACCGACAGAAUAAACACCGGCUAACUCUGUGCCAGCAGCCGCGGUA
rnacentral:rRNA from 1 species